UUUCUCCUACUGCUUCAUCUUGGAUAAAUAAUUUUUCAAGAAGAUAGUAUGUCAGAUCAUAAUCACAUUAUGAUCCUUUCAAAAAAAAAGUAGUAUCCCAAACUCUUUUAGGAUAUUCUUUAAAAUGAGCUUUAUAGACUUAUCCUCUAACAUAUCCACCUGCUGUCUUUGACACAGACUGGACAUCCUUGAAUCUUGAAAUAAUCAAGAUUCAGUUCUCACCAUGCU
rnacentral:lncRNA from 1 species